UACAGAGGGGGCAAGCAUUGUUCGGAAUUACUGGGCGUAAAGGGCGCGUAGGUGGCCUGCUAAGUCGAACGUGAAAUCCCCGGGCUCAACCCGGGAACUGCGUCCGAGACUGGCAGGCUUGAAUCCGGGAGAGGGAUGUGGAAUUCCAGGUGUAGCGGUGAAAUGCGUAGAUAUCGGGAGGAACACCAGUGGCGAAGGCGACUACCUGGCCUGUUCUUGACGCUGAGGCGCGAAAGCUAGGGGAGCAAACGGG
rnacentral:rRNA from 1 species